rnacentral:lncRNA from 1 species
GUCCGCUGCCUCUGGGCCAGGCCGCUCGUGCCUCAGCAGCUUUCUCCAGACUGGGCAGUUCCCAAGGCCCUCUUGGCCAGGCCUUUCCAAACGUCCGAACUCAAUGUCCUGACAAAAUAGCCUUCCUUGGUCAUUCUGGCAUUUCAUCCUUGUCGUCUUACCCAUCCACUCUUUCUUUCAUUUGUGCAGGGGGGAAGAAUGAUUACUGCCAACAGUCCUCAGAAUCCGCGAUGCACAGCUGACUUGGGAGCUCAGUACAUCACCUGCACGCCUCAUUAUGCCGAAAAGCAUCGAGAAUUUUAUGAGGAGUUGUUAGCUCAUGGGGUUUUGGUGCCUCUGACCUCGCCUAUUGAAGGAAUGAUGGUGAAGGAAGGAGAUUGCAACUUUGUGGCACCUCAAGGAAUCUCUUCAAUUAUUAAGCACUACUUGAAAGAAUCAGGUGCAGAAGUCUUCUUCAAACAGCGUGUGACCCAGAUCAACCUGAGAAAUAAUGUGUGGGAAGUCUCCAAAGAGACAGGCUCCCCUGAGCAAUUUGACCUUGUUAUCCUCACCAUGCCAGCUCCUCAGAUUCUGGAACUUCAAGGUGACAUUGUGAACUGA